UAAGCGGUCCAUGUAGUUGACACAUAAGCGGUCCAACUAACAUGCAACUCGAGCGGUCCAGCAACUAACCUUUCGAGCGGUUCAGACCUUUGUCACUCGAGCGGACCAACAUGUCCGUUCGAGCGGCCCAUGUUCCUAAGAGCGAUCCAAUCAUUAUACAACUAUACAAUUUCACUUUCUCAUAUUUACAAUCAUUUACAAUCAUUCCUAUUCUAAAACUCUAAGACUCGAAUGAAGAUGUAGUCGACAGACAACUGCACCAACACCAUCUGAAUAGUGGAAUGAUAGUUGUUGUUGUAUGAGAACUCGAUCAAUGGUAAAUGUACAUCCCAAUUACCACCAAAGUCGAUGACACAAGAACGGAGCAUAUCCUCUAGGGUUUGAAUAGUGCGUUUAGUCUAUCCAUCCGUUUGAGGAUGAAAGGCUGUACUAAGAUUCAAAUUCGAGCAAGUUUCUCCACUUUGAAAUCUUCACGAAUAGGAAGGAAGUGGGCUGAUUUGGUCAAACGGUCAAUGAUAACCCAUAUACUAUCAUGACCGGCAGGUGUACGAGGUAGUUUAGUUAUAAAUUCCAUAGCGAUACUAUCCCAUUUCCAAACCGGGAUUUCGGGUUGUUCAAGAAGACCUGAAGGACGUUGAUGUUCGGCUUUAACCUUUGAGCAAGUAAGGCACUUUGAGACGUACGCGACGAUAUCCUUCUUGAAGAAACACUAGUUCGAAUGACCGGAAUCAAUCGGACCAGGGGUUUAGUUCUGCAUAAAAGGGUAAGUCCUCUCGUUUGAUUCGGGGUUUGGCUGAGCUUCUUCUCCGAACGAUAACUGCAAAACAGAAAGCCGUUAGACUCGCCACAGGGAGAAUGGGGGUUCUCUCCGUGACCACCCUCCGGCGUGAGAAUAAGUACAUAUCU
rnacentral:lncRNA from 1 species